rnacentral:rRNA from 1 species
AGAGUUUGAUUAUGGCUCAGAAUGAACGCUGGCGGCAUGCCUAACACAUGCAAGUCGAACGAGGGCUUCGGCCUUAGUGGCGCACGGGUGCGUAACGCGUGGGAAUCUGCCCCUUGGUUCGGAAUAACAGUUAGAAAUGACUGCUAAUACCGGAUGAUGACGUAAGUCCAAAGAUUUAUCGCCGAGGGAUGAGCCCGCGUAGGAUUAGCUAGUUGGUGUGGUAAGAGCGCACCAAGGCGACGAUCCUUAGCUGGUCUGAGAGGAUGAUCAGCCACACUGGGACUGAGACACGGCCCAGACUCCUACGGGAGGCAGCAGUGGGGAAUAUUGGACAAUGGGCGAAAGCCUGAUCCAGCCAAUGCCGCGUGAGUGAUGAAGGCCUUAGGGUUGUAAAGCUCUUUUACCCGGGAUGAUAAUGACAGUACCGGGAGAAUAAGCUCCGGCUAACUCCGUGCCAGCAGCAGC